UUUAUAGCUGUACCCUUUGGGUAUAGUUCCAAAUUGUGGUAGGAAAUCUUUUUAACUUGUUUUCCCUGUAUGCUAGUAUGGAAAUUUGCUAGACUCUGUUCAAAUUCAGGCCUCCCUGCUCUUCUAUGAGACUGAGAUUGAGUAGGCUUCAAGGACUGUUGCUUCCUCCCAGAUGCCUUUGCUUUUUGACCUGAGUCCAAACUAUUGCAGCUACAGCCCUGGAAUUCACCCAAGUCAGCACCAAGCAUGGGACCUGCUCUUUUAGCAUUUCCCAAUUCUGUGUAUUGAUCUUUAGCAUUCCUGAUUCUGUGUAUUUAUCUCCAUGUACCAAUUUUUAUUGAUAUUCAAGGAGGACCAACACCUGUGGUGUGAGGGCUUGUGGAGCUCUUUUCAAGGCUGCUCUUCCAUCUUUGGCAUCCACCUGGCAUUCUCACCUGUGAUUCUAAGACACUGUAGCUUGCAUAGCUGCUACACCCCCAGCAAACCACCUGGGCAGCUAUAAAAGAACCCUAGGCUGUGAUGGGCAUUGGGAAGUUUAGUUUUCUGCAUUAGGCUGUCUCUGCAAUUCCCUAAUAAAGAUGCCUGGUUUAUUUCUAAA